rnacentral:rRNA from 1 species
UACAGAGGUCCCAAGCGUUGUUCGGAUUCACUGGGCGUAAAGGGUGCGCAGGCGGUCGGGUGUGUCAGAUGUGAAAUCCCGAGGCUCAACCUCGGAACUGCGUCUGAAACUACUCGACUAGAGUACUGGAGAGGGUAACGGAAUUCACGGUGUAGCAGUGAAAUGCGUAGAUAUCGUGAGGAACACCAGAGGCGAAGGCGGUUACCUGGACAGUUACUGACGCUCAGGCACGAAAGCAUGGGGAGCAAACAGG